ACUCAAAUGAAUUGACGGGGGCCCGCACAAGCGGCGGAGCGUGCGGUUUAAUUCGACGCAACGCGAAGAACCUUACCAGGGCUUGACAUGCGCCUGCAGGGUCCGGAAACGGAUCGGCCUUCGAGGGUGGCGCACAGGUGCUGCAUGGCUGUCGUCAGCUCGUGUCGUGAGAUGUUGGGUUAAGUCCCGCAACGAGCGCAACCCCCGUGGUCAGUUGCCGAUGUUUCUGGCCAGACUGCCGGCAGCAAACCGGAGGAAGGUGGGGAUGACGUCAAGUCAGCAUGGCCCUUACGUCCUGGGCGACACGCACGCUACAAUGGUCGGGACAGCGGGUAGCCAAGCCGCAAGGCGGAGCGAAUCCCUUCAAACCCGAUCUCAGUUGGAAUUGCGGGCUGCAACUCGCCCGCAUGAACGUGGAGUCGCUAGUAACCGCGGGUCAGCACUACCGCGGUGAAUACGUUCCCGGGCCUUGUACACACCGCCCGU
rnacentral:rRNA from 1 species